CAUGCUAGUUGUACGUCUAACGUAGCGAAAAGCUCCGUAACACGUGGCCAAUACUACCCUCUGGAGGACGAUACUCUCGGGAAACUGAGGCUAAUAGUCCAUACGACACUCGAGUUGGAAUACUGGGUGUCCGAAACGCUCCGGCGCCAGAGGAUGUGGCUGCGGCUGAUUAGGUAGACGGUGGGGUAACGGCCCACCGUGCCGAUAAUCAGUACGGGUUGUGAGAGCAAGAGCCCGGAGACGGAAUCUGAGACAAGAUUCCGGGCCCUACGGGGCGCAGCAGGCGCGAAACCUUUACACUGCACGCCAGUGCGAUAAGGGGACCCCGAGUGCGAGGGCAUACUAGCCCUCGCUUUUCUGAACCGUAGGGGGGUUCAGGAACAAGAGCUGGGCAAGACCGGUGCCAGCCGCCGCGGUAAUACCGGCAGCUCGAGUGAUGACCGAUGUUAUUGGGCCUAAAGCGUCCGUAGCUGGCCUCGCAAGUCCGUCGGGAAAUCCAUCGGCUCAACCGAUGGGCGUCCGGCGGAAACUGCGUGGCUUGGGACCGGAAGGCUCGAGGGGUACGUCCGGGGUAGGAGUGAAAUCCCGUAAUCCUGGACGGACCACCGAUGGCGAAAGCACCUCGAGAGGACGGAUCCGACAGUGAGGGACGAAAGCUGGGGUCUCGAACCGGAUUAGAUACCCGGGUAGUCCCAGCCGUAAACGAUGCCAGUUAGGUGUGGCAGAGGCUACGAGCCUCUGCUGUGCCGUACGGAAGCCUAGAAACUGGCCGCCUGGGAAGUACGUCCGCAAGGAUGAAACUUAAAGGAAUUGGCGGGGGAGCACUACAACCGGAGGAGCCUGCGGUUUAAUUGGAUUCAACGCCGGGA
rnacentral:rRNA from 1 species